rnacentral:rRNA from 1 species
AACGCGAAGAACCUUACCAGGUCUUGACAUCCGAUGCAUAUCACAGAGAUGUGAGAAGUCCUUCGGGACAUCGAGACAGGUGCUGCAUGGUUGUCGUCAGCUCGUGUCGUGAGAUGUUGGGUUAAGUCCCGCAACGAGCGCAACCCUUAUUGCCAGUUACUACGCAAGAGGACUCUGGCGAGACUGCCGUUGACAAAACGGAGGAAGGUGGGGAUGACGUCAAAUCAUCAUGCCCUUUAUGACCUGGGCUACACACGUACUACAAUGGCGUUUAACAAAGAGAAGCGAUACCGCGAGGUGGAGCAAAACUCAAAAACAACGUCUCAGUUCAGAUUGCAGGCUGCAACUCGCCUGCAUGAAGUCGGAAUUGCUAGUAAUCGCGGAUCAGCAUGCCGCGGUGAAUACGUUCCCGGGUCUUGUACACACCG